AAGGUGUGUGCUACGAUCGAACAGGAGAAAGGAAAAAAGGGGUGUGAACCCUAAACCUCAAGAAAUCAUCAAAUUGAAAAGGGAAUCAAGGGCUGAUUGUAUGCAUGAACCAAGGAUGAUGAUCCCUUAAGCAUUUCUAACAUCAACGUAGGAGCCAUGUCAACAUGGACACGAGCAUGGAAGGGCAAUGGGUCAACGGUAAAUACGGAAGCUAUGCAUGAACUCGGACGCACGAGGUAGCGUUAGUUAAUUGAGCAUGGCGAUGAUUGAAGUUUGAUAUGGUUUUGGUUGUAUGAAAUCGGUUAUUUUAGCUAAGUAGACCGAACGGGACAAUAUAAAGUUGUAAUGAUAUGACAGAUUGAUGUAAUGCUACGGUAUUGUAACCGGGUAAUGGGUAGAAUUGCACAUAAGUGCGCCAACCGAGAAUGGGGACUUAGGUUAAUGGUCAAAAGACUUAGCUUUUGACCUUAAAUAAAAGAAUGGUUUAACAAAAUACGAACAGGUCGAAUAAAUGUGCAUAAACUUCAUAAUGCUAAUGAAAUGCGUAAAGAUUAAGGACCCGGGUAAGGGCGUUUAGCCCAUAAUGUAAGGACAAGUCUUACGGACAACUAGAAAUAAUUGUGAGCAAUUUGAUUGAGGAAUGUCCGAGAUACGCAAGUUUUAAUAAUAAAAAUAUGAAUGGGUUGAAUAGUCGAAACGAGUAUGUAGAGCCGAAGGCUUAAAGUUAAGAUUUUUCCUUGUUUGGAUGUUAUAUUACAAGCUCAUAUGUUAGAAAAUCGAUUUACCAACGCAUAGGAAAAAGAAUCAUGUUAAUCGGAUUCGUAGAUCAAAAGUUAUGCAAAUUGUAAGUCGAAAAUACCCUUGGAAUUCAUAGCUGGGAAUUUACAGCAGCAAAUUGGAAGUUUCUGUCGAAAUAGAGCUGUCGCGCCCCGCGAGCGCCAGUCAGCUGGCAAAUUUUGGUUUUCUUGUUUGAUUUUGCAUCCGGACUCGAUGUUUUAAUGAUUUUCGAUGUCCCUUAACUUAUAUUAAAGCCGGUUUGAAACACGAGUGAUGUUAUGAGCCUCCGGAUAAUGAAAGUAUGUAUUUUUCUUCGUGUUAGAGAAGAAAGAUUAUAAGUAAUCGAGACUAGAAAUGAGUGGGCAUGCAGUAUGGUAAGUAUAAAACUUAUAUCACGGAAGUUGCGAUUAUGAUAAGAAAUGCGAGAUUAAGUGAAUAAAAGUAGUAAGCAAGGGCUCGCGUCUAUGUGUGUGUAUGUGAAUGUGUGCGUAUGUAUGUAGGUGUAUAUGUUGUAUGUAUGUAGGAAUUAGGAACGUAUACGUUUGUGGAUGCGAGAUGUUAUAAGUAUAUGAAGGAAUGGUUUGGACUGGUUUCAUUAUGUUCUAGCAUUAAUGUUUGCUAAUCGUGUGUUUGAGAUUGGAAUGAAAUGCAGGUACAUGAACAUCGGGUUCAUGAAGUAUCGAAGUCGAAUUCGGAACAAGAAAAUACGAAAGGAUAGUUGAAUGAAUUAAAGUUCCUACUGUUAAAUGUUAUUCAAUAUUGGACUAUAUGAGAAUCAUGUCGUAUGAUGUUGUUAAUGACUAAUGGUUAUGAUGUAUGCGAUGUCCACAGGUAUUGCACGGAUUACCGCUACUACUACCGAAGAUAAGCAAGCGUUGAUCGAGUCACGGAGCAAGGGUUGUACGGAAAUAUGUAUUGUCUUGAAGCGUUAAUUUAAUGUGGUUAUUGUAAAUCCCUUUUGUAAAUGUUUAUCAUUUGUAUUGGAGCCUUCAAGUAAGUAAUGUGUCUAAAUAAGAAAGAAAUUUUUGG
rnacentral:lncRNA from 1 species